AUUGAACGCUGGCGGAAUGCUUUACACAUGCAAGUCGAACGGCAGCACGGACUUCGGUCUGGUGGCGAGUGGCGAACGGGUGAGUAACAUAUCGGAACGUAUCCAAUAAUGGGGGAUAACUAAUCGAAGGGUUGGUUAAUACCGCAUACGCCCUACGGGGGAAAGCAGGGGAACUUCGGACCUUGCAUUAAUGGAGCGGCUGAUAUCUGAUUAGCUAAUUGGUGAGGUAAAGGCGCACCAAGGCGACGAUCAGUAGCUGGUCUGAGAGGACGACCAGCCACACUGGAACUGAGACACGGUCCAGACUCCUACGGGAGGCAGCAGUGGGGAAUUUUGGACAAUGGGCGCAAGCCUGAUCCAGCCAUUCCGCGUGAGUGAAGAAGGCCUUCGGGUUGUAAAGCUCUUUCGCAAGGGAAGAAAACUUACUUUCUAAUAAAGAGUGAGGUUGACGGUGCCUUGAUAAGAAGCACCGGCUAACUACGUGCCAGCAGCCGCCGUAA
rnacentral:rRNA from 1 species